UCAAAAAUAAUAUACUCCAUUAGUACAUGAUUACUAUUUUGUAUCUAGAGUCCAGGACAAGAUAAAAGAACAUCUAGACUAUGUAGGGUACCCGGUAGAUGACAGAGUUUACGAAUGGAUGUUCUUGUCAAUACAAAAGUAAAACGUGCAUGGGCGUCUCAACACUCAUUUGUGAGAAGCAUGGUUAUAAACAAUUUACCAGGAAUUUCUUCGAAACAAGCCAUUCGAAGGGACCACAAGACGCAGCAGGAGGAGCAGCUGAAACGUCAAUUAGACAUUGCAGUCAUGAAAGGCGAAGCAAUAAAACGCACGAGACGUUUACGUAUACGCAAGUGAAAAUCUAUGCACACCAAAAUCCGGAAUGUAUCAGAGGAGAAUCUUUGCUUACAUCGAUAACAUCGAGAGAUCAACAACUUACAACUUCAACCCAAUUCCACAAAAUCGGCGGGUACACCAAAUGAAAACUUGCUUGCCAGGGGUUCUUCACGUACGGCUACAGUCCUGCUACACAUGCGACAAUUGUUUAGAUGGUUCGAAUCCAUGUUCCAAUAUCGACAAAACGGGCGAGUUCAACUGUUUGACCGUAACAAGUAAUGCUGGAUGUGAUGCUAUUGAUGACAACAUCGACGACUAACCCUCCCUAGCUGAUAUUGUUAGUGUCGGUGACAUAGUUGCAGUAAUCGAGACUGACGAUUACCCAGGCAACCUAUGCAUUGAGCGAGAAAGCAGAUGAUGAGUGGGGAAAUCAGUUCAACGAAGGCGCGACUGUUGUAAAGGGCCU